GACGAACGCUGGCGGCGUGCCUAAUACAUGCAAGUUGAGCGCUGAAGGUUGGUACUUGUACCAACUGGAUGAGCAGCGAACGGGUGAGUAACGCGUGGGGAAUCUGCCUUUGAGCGGGGGACAACAUUUGGAAACGAAUGCUAAUACCGCAUAAAAACUUUAAACACAAGUUUUAAGUUUGAAAGAUGCAAUUGCAUCACUCAAAGAUGAUCCCGCGUUGUAUUAGCUAGUUGGUGUGGUAAAGGCUCACCAAGGCGAUGAUACAUAGCCGACCUGAGAGGGUGAUCGGCCACAUUGGGACGGAGACACGGCCCAAACUCCUACGGGAGGCAGCAGGAGGGAAUCUUCGGCAAUGGACGAAAGUCUGACCGAGCAACGCCGCGUGAGUGAAGAAGGGUUUCGGAUCGUAAAACUCUGUUGGUAGAGAAGAACGUUGGUGAGAGUGGAAAGCUCAUCAAGUGACGGUAACUACACAGAAAGGGACGGCUAACUACGUG
rnacentral:rRNA from 1 species